ACUAAGAAAAGCAAUAAGAGAUGUGGUCUCCAUAUUCAUGAUCUUUCUCUCUUUGUAUAUAAGGAUGAUCUAAGCUUUAUAUUUACAAAAUCAACUUGAGUAUUAUUCAAUGGAAAUCAACUAUCAAGCAAAUAAUUCUAUUGUUGUGAUCUCACCUCAAUAUUGCGCACCAUAUCAAGUGGAGCUUUAUACUGCCAAGAGAGUUAAAAAAGUAACAGAAAGUAGGCACUUAGGAGUUUUUGAUAUCAAUGGCAAUAUCAUCUUUAAAAAAACUAAUGGUCAUUUCAGCAGUCGCCUUAUCCUCUUCGAUGCUGCCGGAGUUCCUGUCGCAUCUCUAAAACCAGUGAAGUUCUCUUUUCAUCAGAGGUGGAAAGUUUAUAGAGGGGAUAGCUCAGAGCCAAGAGACCUAUUGUUUACUGUAAAGAAAUCUCAGUAUCUAUAAUUCAAGAUUCAAUUGGAUGUGUUCUUAGCAUCUAACACAGCUGAAGAUAUAUGUGAUUUUAAGAUUAAACAAACUUAUAAUGAGAAAUCUUGCGUCAUUUAUCGAGGGGACUCAGAAAACAUUAUUGCUGAGAUGCACAAAAACAAGGCUGUCCGAGAUAAAGUUCGUGGGAAGGACACAUUCUCAGUCACCGUCUCCCCGAAUGUUGAUUAUGCAUUCGUUAUUGCCAUGGGUGCGGUUCUCAAUGAGGUUAAUACACCUAGUAGUAGCAGUA